rnacentral:tRNA from 1 species
GGGAGGGCAGUCUUGUGGUUAAGGCACUGGGUUAGGAUUCAAGAGAACUGGGCUCAAUUCCCAGCUCCUCCA